rnacentral:rRNA from 1 species
AUGGCUGGCUUAGGCGACGCCGCCAAGGAAUACAUCGCUGGAUCUGCUGCAGGCGUCGCCCAGGUAGUCGUCGGCCACCCUUUCGACACCGUGAAGGUCAAAUUGCAAGCUCACAACACCAGGGCUCACGGAAAGGUCUACAAGAAUGCAUUCCACUGCACUAGUAGGAUACUGGUUGAGGAAGGAAUAAGAGGGUUGUAUAAAGGCGCAUCAUCUUCAUUUAUUGGUAUAGCACUUGAAAGCUCCCUUUUUUUUGGCACAUAUGCACAAGCCAAACAAUUACUACAGGGAAAAUCUGAGGAUUGUAAGCCGCGGCUGCAGGUAAUUAUUCCUGCUGCUGCCUGCAGUGGAGCCCUGAUCAGCUGCAUCCUUGCUCCGACUGAGCUGACCAAGUGCAGAAUGCAAGUUCAAGGGAAGGAUGUGAUGUAUGCGACACGGUACUCCAGCCCUCUAGAUUGCGCUGUGAAAACACUGCAGCGUGAAGGGGUUAGGGGUAUAUUUCGUGGUGGUUUAGCAACACUGUACAGAGAGGCAAUUGGCAAUGCUGUCUUCUUCUGCACUUAUGAGUACAGCCGAUAUUGGAUGCACAACUAUAUAGAUUCUCGGCAAUUUUCUAGCAACAGUGGCUUGGUUGUGGCAAAAGAUAUCGGGAUAGGAAUCAUGAGUGGUGGCCUCAGUGGGAUGGCUUUCUGGACAGCUACCCUGCCAAUGGAUGUUGCCAAAACGAUUAUUCAGACAGAUCAUAACCCUCAGUCGAGCCGAAAUCCAUUUCGGGUUUUAAACAUGGUCUAUAGGAGAGCUGGUCUGGCUGGAUGUUAUGCUGGUCUUGGGCCAACACUGGCAAGAGCAUUCCCUGCCAAUGCGGCAGCGAUUGUUGCCUGGGAGUACAGUGCUAAGAUUCUUGGUAUAAGGCGUGACUAA